AAAAGCCCCACUGGUCAGAUUUAUAGGCCAUAUGUGUUUCUGGAAACACAUAGAGCCACCCUAGAUGAUGAUCCCCCGUCUUCUAAAUCACAGGCAGCUGCAAAACUUGCACUAGUGAAGGAGACAUAUGAUAAAUAUCCUUGAGCACAAAAGUGUUUGGGCAUUGACGCUGUUACCCAGAUAUAUGGCGCUGAUCAAAAGGGAUACAUACGUAGAAUGGGUGCUGGUAUCUCAAAAUCUCAGUUUCUUGCUGCUGAGUUUAUGAAGGCCAAGUUGCAGGAAGUGAGGAACGAGUUGCGGAAAGUGAGGCAGAAAAACGAAGCUUUGAAAGCACAGUUGGAUGUUGAAAGGCAGAAAAACAGCACUGCAGUACAUGGUCAGAUCGGUGAUAGCUCUUAUCAACAGGGUAUUGGGAUCCCUUCGUCCUAUCCUUCGUCGUUUGGUCUUUGUGUUUGAGGAACUUCAGAAAAAAGGUUGUUGCACUUGCAUAUGUUGAUAGUAAGCUACUGAUUGAUGACCACUACGACUGCAUGAUUGAGGAAGUUAUUGAUCCAACUGCGAUGUUGUGCGAUAGAGAUAAUGAUGCUAUACUUGGGAAUGUUAAAAGAAGUGAGUUUGUUAAGUGGCCCAAGGCCUAUGUGACUACUGUAGGAGAGCCAUCAAGUUAGAAUGGUAGUGAGAGUAGAUUGAUUAGUUUUUUAAUUUUCAUGUUGUAACUUGGAGUUGCUAUAUGUCCGCCAAUCUAUGUUUGAAU